GCUCCGCGUUGGCCGCCACCCGCGCCGCCAGCUGUGACUCCAGCUCGCGGCACUUGCUCUCCAGCUCCCGGGACGCCAACUCUGGGCAGGGGAGAGGGAGGGGAGAGUGAGGGUCCCCGCCUGGCUGUUACCUGCACAGCUCACCGAUCCUAAGAGCGAAGCCCGGCACCCCCCGCCCCCGACUGCACGUCCUGCGGCGCUCGCCCUCACUCCCCACGCGCCUGCGACGCUGGCCUGCCUCUUUCCUCCUCGAGGCCCUUGCACCUAUCUUGCCUUCUGUUUGGCCACUCUGAUUCUUCAGUGCGCCCCUUAAGUGCAAACCCUUCCCUGACCAUUUAUUCACUCCAUGACUGUUUGUUGAGCCCUGACUCUGUGCGUUGUAUUAGGCAUUGUGGGUAUGGUGGAUAGGAAAACAUUCCUCACGAAGCUCACAGCAAGCAUAGUGGGAGAGGUAUGGUACAUAACCACAAAAGAAUGUGAGGUUGCAUCUGUGACACGUGCCAAUACCACGACUGUAACAGGAGACUGUGACCUAAUCCAGGAAGGCUUCUCAGCCGAAGAGCAACUUGGGCUAGGAUCUGACAGGUGAAUAGGAGUUAAGUAGUGAACAGGGGAGAGAAGGAUGCUUUGGUCAGAGGGAAGGACUUGUGCAAAAGCCCCGUAGCAGGAGAGACAUACAAGAACAAGGGACUGAAAGAACUGGGAGUGUGAGCAGAAAAGGGGAGUCAGUGUGCUGCGAACCUUGUUUCCUUCAUAAAGAGCAUUUAUUACAUUUUGUGGGGUUUUUUUAAACUUGUUUAUUGUUUGCCUUUGCCCACUGCAUUGGGUUUCAAACCUGGAUAUACACUGGAACCAUCCAGAGAGCUUUAAAAAAUAGUUUUCCUGGGUCCUAUCAAAGUAUCAAGUACUGGGAAAGGGUACUUCUUGAAUCUUCCCUGGUGAUUCUCAUGUACCCACAGGGUUGAGGACCCCUACCUCCUGGAUCAUAAACUCCAUUUCAGCAGGGUCUGUAUCCCAGGACUGGCGCAUGUGAGUGAGAAUGGUGACAAAGGGUAGGUAAAAGGUGACUUCUGGAGGGGACAGGAAAACCACCAAGUGAUUUUCAUAUAAAAGGAGGACAAGGAAAGAGAGCUCUCAAGCCCACUGAGAGGGAAAGUAAAAACCAGGACACUGGGGCAGUGCCUUGAGCCCAGAUGACCCCAAAAGCCCUUUCAGAGGAAGGACAGUAGGUGGAGUAAAAGCUACUGUUGUCACAGAACUGUUCUUGCCUGGUGUCUGGGAUAUGUGACCCCUUCCUCCAAGCACGUAGGCACAAAGAGGCCGCCCAUGACUGCCACUUAAAGCAGUCGGCAGAAUUAGUUCAGGGCCAUAAGUGUUUAGAUGUUUAUGCAUGAUAUGCAAAGCAGUUAGUAGCGCUCCUAGCAUUUUACCUUAACCUUAAACUUCCAGCCUUCCCUGCGCCUAACUCUUGGUCCUGUCGCUGUUGAUCUAUAAGCAGCACAUCAAUAUGGCAGGGAGCCCAUUCUUAAAACCCUCCUGGCCAAGAAAUACUACUUUUGUGAUUCCUUUCAAAUCAAGCAUUUACUGAGUCCCUCUCCAUGUCAGGUAAUGUGCUUUGCACUGAGAGACGAUGGGUAACACCCAGUCCUAGUUCUCAGAGAUCAUAUCAUCUGGAAAUUAAGAUCUCAACAAUGCAACCCCUCCCAUUUGAAAAAAUUAAUUGUGGCAAAAAAACAAGGAACCAAUUUUGCCAUCUUAACCAUUUUUUAAGUGUACAGUAGUGUUAAUAUACUCGCAUUGUUGUGCAACAGAUCUCUAGAAUUUUUUCAUCUUGCAAAACUGAAACUCUAUACUCAUUGAACACCAUCUCCCCACACCACUCCCCAUUUUACAGGUGAAGUAAUAAUCUAUAAACAAAUAUUUCAGUGGAAUUUCUACAACGGCAAGAAGUCAUGCUUUUGUAAAAUGAAGAAUUUGCUAAUGUGCCUGUGUCUCUUUGCUCCUCCUCUAGACUAUGUUCCUUGAAGUCAAAGACCCCAUAUUGUCAUCGUGUUGAAUCUUGACACUCAGCAUCUUGGAGGGUGUGGACACGGACUGUGAGAAUCACUCGUACAAGGAUGAGAAGGAUUAGGGAGGAAGCUGAUGUGGCGUUGCACGCUCUGGAUCUGAUGCUCCAGGGACACGGUAUCCAUGGCAACCCAGGCCUGGGCCCCACCUGGGGAGGAUGACAAGGUGAACCCACAUCUUCUGGGCCCAUCCACCCUGCCAACCUUCAGGUCCUUUCAAUUGUCUCCUUCAGUCUGGGGUCCUGUUGUACCAGGCAGAUGAUUCUGCCACUGAAGUCAUUUGUAUUUACUCACUGAAACUUCAUAAACAAGCGGUGUGUUGGCA